rnacentral:misc_RNA from 1 species
GAUGAAGAACGCAGCGAAAUGCGAUAACUAGUGUGAAUUGCAGAUUUCAGUGAAUCAUCGAAUCUUUGAACGCACAUUGCGCCCUCUGGUAUUCCGGGGGGCAUGCCUGUUCGAGCGUCAUUAUAACCACUCAAGCUCUCGCUUGGUAUUGGGGUUCGCGGUUCCGCGGCCCCUAAAAUCAGUGGCGGUGCCUGUCGGCUCUACGCGUAGUAAUACUCCUCGCGAUUGAGUCCGGUAGGUCUACUUGCCAGCAACCCCCAAUUUUUACAGGUUGACCUCGGAUCAGGUAGGGAUACCCGCUGAACUUAAGCAUAUCAAUAAGCGGAGGA